rnacentral:rRNA from 1 species
AUUGAACGCUGGCGGCAGGCCUAACACAUGCAAGUCGAACGAGUGGCGGACGGGUGAGUAAUGUCUGGGAAACUGCCCGAUGGAGGGGGAUAACUACUGGAAACGGUAGCUAAUACCGCAUACCAUCGGAUGUGCCCAGAUGGGAUUAGCUAGUAGGUGGGGUAACGGCUCACCUAGGCGACGAUCCCUAGCUGGUCUGAGAGGAUGACCAGCCAAACUGGAACUGAGAAACGGUCCAGACUCCGACGGUGGGCAGCAGUGGGGAAUAUUGCACAAUGGGCGAAAGCCUGAUGCAGCCAUGCCGCGUGGAUGAAUAAGGCCUUCGGGUUGUAAAGUACUUGCAGCGAGGAGGCGUUACUCGCAGAAGAAGCCCCGGCUAACUCCGUGCCAGCAGCCGCGGUAAUAC